rnacentral:rRNA from 1 species
GGAUGAACGCUGGCGGCGUGCCUAAUACAUGCAAGUCGAGCGAACAGACGAGGAGCUUGCUCCUCUGACGUUAGCGGCGGACGGGUGAGUAACACGUGGAUAACCUACCUAUAAGACUGGGAUAACUUCGGGAAACCGGAGCUAAUACCGGAUAAUAUAUUGAACCGCAUGGUUCAAUAGUGAAAGACGGUUUUGCUGUCACUUAUAGAUGGAUCCGCGCCGCAUUAGCUAGUUGGUAAGGUAACGGCUUACCAAGGCAACGAUGCGUAGCCGACCUGAGGGGGUUGACGGCCACACUGGAACUGAGACACGGUCCAGACUCCUACGGGAGGCAGCAGUAGGGAAUCUUCCGCAAUGGGCGAAAGCCUGACGGAGCAACGCCGCGUGAGUGAUGAAGGUCUUCGGAUCGUAAAACUCUGUUAUUAGGGAAGAACAAAUGUGUAAGUAACUAUGCACGUCUUGACGGUACCUAAUCAGAAAGCCACGGCUAACUACGUG